UACCAUGCAGUCGACGGUAACAGGAAACAGCUUGCUGCUUCGCUGACGAGUGGCGGACGGGUGAGUAAUGUCUGGGAAACUGCCUGAUGGAGGGGGAUAACUACUGGAAACGGUAGCUAAUACCGCAUAACGUCGCAAGACCAAAGAGGGGGACCUUCGGGCCUCUUGCCAUCGGAUGUGCCCAGAUGGGAUUAGCUAGUUGGUGGGGUAACGGCUCACCUAGGCGACGAUCCCUAGCUGGUCUGAGAGGAUGACCAGCCACACUGGAACUGAGACACGGUCCAGACUCCUACGGGAGGCAGCAGUGGGGAAUAUUGCACAAUGGGCGCAAGCCUGAUGCAGCCAUGCCGCGUGUAUGAAGAAGCCUUCGGGUUGUAAAGUACUUUCAGCGGGGAGGAAGGGAGUAAAGUUAAUAC
rnacentral:rRNA from 1 species